rnacentral:rRNA from 1 species
UACGUAGGGGGCAAGCGUUGUCCGGAAUUAUUGGGCGUAAAGAGCUCGUAGGCGGUUUGUCGCGUCUGCUGUGAAAACUCGGGGCUCAACCCCGAGCUUGCAGUGGGUACGGGCAGACUAGAGUGCGGUAGGGGAGACUGGAAUUCCUGGUGUAGCGGUGGAAUGCGCAGAUAUCAGGAGGAACACCGGUGGCGAAGGCGGGUCUCUGGGCCGUAACUGACGCUGAGGAGCGAAAGCAUGGGGAGCGAACAGG